CCGGCACGGGUGGAGUAACACGUAUGCAAUCCACCUGUAACAGGGGAGUAACCGGAGAAAUCCGGACUAAUACCCAUAAUAUGGGCGCUCCGCAUGGAGAGCCCAUUAAAGAGAGCAAUUUUGGUUACAGACGAGCAUGCGCUCCAUUAGCCAGUUGGCGGGGUAACGGCCCACCAAAGCGACGAUGGAUAGGGGUUCUGAGAGGAAGGUCCCCCACAUUGGAACUGAGACACGGUCCAA
rnacentral:rRNA from 1 species